rnacentral:rRNA from 1 species
AUUGAACGCUGGCGGCAGGCUUAACACAUGCAAGUCGAGCGGGGGAAGGUAGCUUGCUACCGGACCUAGCGGCGGACGGGUGAGUAAUGCUUAGGAAUCUGCCUAUUAGUGGGGGACAACAUCUCGAAAGGGAUGCUAAUACCGCAUACGUCCUACGGGAGAAAGCAGGGGAUCUUCGGACCUUGCGCUAAUAGAUGAGCCUAAGUCGGAUUAGCUAGUUGGUGGGGUAAAGGCCUACCAAGGCGACGAUCUGUAGCGGGUCUGAGAGGAUGAUCCGCCACACUGGGACUGAGACACGGCCCAGACUCCGACGGGAGGCAGCAGUGGGGAAUAUUGGAAAAUGGGGGGAACCCUGAGCCAGCCAUGCCGCGUGUGUGAAGAAGGCCUUAUGGUUGUAAAGCACUUUAAGCGAGGAGGAGGCUACUUUAGUUAAUACCUAUAGAUAGUGGACGUUACUCGCAGAAUAAGCACCGGCUAACUCUGUGCCAGCCGCCGCGGUAA